rnacentral:misc_RNA from 1 species
UCCGGUUUAACACCGGCAGUCUCCAUAGAGUGCCCAACUAAAUGAUGGCAACUAGGGAUAAGGGUUGCGCUCGUUAAGGGACUUAACCCGACAUCUCACGAUACGAGCUGACGACAGCCAUGCAGCACCUGUCUCUCUGCCCCCGAAGGGGACACCCUAUCUCUAGGGCUGUCAGAGGAUGUCAAGUCCAGGUAAGGUUCUUCGCGUUGCUUCGAAUUAAACCACAUGCUCCACUGCUUGUGCGGGCCCCCGUCAAUUCCUUUGAGUUUUAAUCUUGCGACCGUACUCCCCAGGCGGAGAGCUUAAUGCGUUAGCUGCGCCACUGAAGGGCAAACCCGCCAACGGCUAGCAUCCAUCGUUUACGGCGUGGACUAC